rnacentral:rRNA from 1 species
AUGCACUACAUCCAGGCACGCCUCCACCUCCAGCGCCAGACCGGCCAGCCGGGCCACCUCGGCCCGCGGCCCCAGCCCAUGAAGCCUGCUUCGGUGGCAGCGGCGACCCCGCCGCGGCCGCAGAAGCUCUACCGUGGCGUGCGGCAGCGCCACUGGGGCAAGUGGGUGGCGGAGAUCCGCCUCCCCCGCAACCGCACCCGCCUCUGGCUCGGCACCUUCGACACCGCCGAGGAGGCGGCCCUCGCCUACGACCAGGCAGCCUACCGCCUCCGCGGCGACGCAGCGCGCCUCAACUUCCCCGACAACGCUGCCUCCCGCGGCCCGCUCCAUGCCUCCGUUGACGCCAAGCUCCAGACCCUCUGCCAGAACAUCACCGCCUCCAAGAACGCCAAGAAGUCCGCCUCCGUCUCCGCGUCCACCGCCGCAGCCACGUCGUCCACCCCCACCAGCAACUGCUCCUCGCCGUCCUCCGACGAGGCGUCGUCCUCGCUGGAGUCCGCGGAGUCGUCACCGUCACCCGCCGCCACCACCGCAGCAGAGGUUCCAGAGAUGCAGCAGCUCGACUUCAGCGAGGCGCCAUGGGAUGAGGCAGCCUGCUUCGCCCUCACCAAGUACCCGUCGUACGAGAUCGACUGGGACUCGCUUCUCGCCGCCAAUUAG